rfam:Triticum aestivum genome assembly, contig: Triticum_aestivum_CS42_TGACv1_scaffold_570323_7AS
CAUAUACUCCUCCGUUCGGAAUUACUCGUCCAAGAAAUGAAUGUAUCUAUAUGUAUUUUAGUUGUAGAUACAUCCAUUUUUGUGACAAGUAAUUCUGAACGGAGGGAGUAUUUC